AUCAACCUCAGUGAUGGCUGGUGUCAGUUUUGUCAACAUUGAUUUCCCGGUGAAUUUCGAGGAGUCCUCUGGUUGUGUCAAUUUAGACAAAGAUAAGGUGAUUCAGAAGCUUAAAGAUGUAACAGUCCAAGAUCAAUGUUGUGGUAAGUUUCGGUGAUUGAGAGGAAGAACGUUCCAGGCCAGAAAAAGGAACUGUCCACCUAUGCUGUGGUAACGAACAUAGUUAAAUAUGGAGCCAUCGCACCGAUUGCAAAAUUGUCUGUAGUCAAUACAGUUGCCAAGAGAUCAAAAGAAAAAGUUGAUAUCAGGAGUGAUGACUGUUUGAUGGCGAGCUGUGAAGGUGAAGGGACCAUGAAGAAGUUGAGAGUUCAAUAACUCUGCUGUUAGGAUUUAUAUUUAGAACUGUCUAGUGUCUACAAGGAUGGAUGGUGGACUCUAUGGAUGUCUGGGAGUCUGCAUGGUGGAUGCAACAUGGAUGGACUCAAAUGUGAUGGUAGAGUUCAAGUGCAUCUAGGGUGCUGAAAGAAGGUCUCUUUAAAUGUGAAUAUCUAGCUAGAGGUUUGUCAUUCUUGGAAUCUUUGAAAUAUGUUUUCCUUUUACAAAUUUUGAGAUUUUAGAA